rnacentral:rRNA from 1 species
GACGAACGCUGGCGGCGUGCUUGACACAUGCAAGUCGAGCGAUGAAAGCCUUAUGAACUAUUCGUAGUGAUUGGGGCCGGAUUAGCGGCGGACGAGUGAGUAACGCGUGAGCAACCUGCCUUAAACAACGGGAUAGCCUCGGGAAACCGGGAUUAAUACCGUAUGAGACCCCGCCUUCACAUGAAGAAGAGGUUAAAGAUUUAUCGGUUUAAGAUGGGCUCGGGUCUGAUUAGCUAGUUGGUGAGAUGAAAGCCCACCAAGGCAACGAUCAGUAACCGGCUUGGGAGAGUGAACGGUCACAUUGGAACUGAAACACGGUCCAAACUCCUACGGGAGGCAGCAGUGGGGAAUAUUGCACAAUGGGGGAAACCCUGAUGCAGCGACGCCGCGUGAGCGAUGAAGGAAUUCGUUUCGUAAAGCUCUGUCCAAGGGGAAGAUAAUGACAGUACCCUUGGAGGAAGCCCCGGCUAAAUACGUGCCAGCCGCCGCCGUAAUAC